AUACAAUUGAGAUUCUCCCAGAGGAUAUCCAGGCUCAAAGCAUCAGUCCACCAGCUGAAUACUCAGUCAGACUGGUGAAUGGGACCACUUCCUGUUCUGGGACAGUGGAAGUCUUCUCCAGAGGAGAGUGGUCAGGUCUAUGUACUAUAGGGUGGAGUAUGAUAGAGACUAAGGUUGUGUGUAGAGAGCUGGGCUGUGGGAAUGCUGUAGCUGA